rnacentral:rRNA from 1 species
GGGGGCCCGCAAGCGGUGGAGCAUGUGGUUCAAUUCGACGCAACGCGAAGAACCUUACCUGGGCUCGAAGCGCAGUGGAAUCCGGUGGAAACAUCGGCGCCCCUUAAAAGGCCGCUGCGGAGGUGCUGCAUGGCUGUCGUCAGCUCGUGUCGUGAGAUGUUGGGUUAAGUCCCGCAACGAGCGCAACCCUUAUCCCUAGUUGCCAUCGGGUCAAGCCGGGCACUCUAGUGAAACUGCCUCGGAUAACGAGGAGGAAGGUGGGGAUGACGUCAAGUCCUCAUGGCCUUUAUGUCCAGGGCUACACACGUGCUACAAUGGUCGGUACAAACCGUCGCAAACCCGUGAGGGGGAGCUAACCGGAAAAAGCCGGCCUCAGUUCGGAUUGGAGUCUGCAACUCGACUCCAUGAAGCUGGAAUCGCUAGUAAUCGCGGAUCAGAACGCCGCGGUGAAUACGUUCCCGGGCCUUGUACACACC